ACCAUCUUGGUCACUGUGACAGGAAGUGACACAGUAACAGUCAAAGAGGUCACACUGUUUGACAGCUCCGGACCGACAGAGGUCAACGGCACGUUACAGUCAGUGGGAAGUGGUAGCUUCCUGGUGACAUUCACUGACGUCCCAGCAGGGGACUUUGUACUCCGUCUAAAAGGAGAGGACAGCGCCACCUCCAGGUCAACACACAGCAGCUUCCAGAGGCAGGCGUCCACUCAGAUAAAGCCCUCCAGCAUCUCUGUUACUACUCAGACCAACAACACCAGUGCAGAACCAGGCUCCACCAUCUCCGUCAACUUCACAGUGGCCGCAACCUCCAACGGUGUUGUUAAUGAAACAGCCACCGGGACGUUCACGAUCCAAGCCAACAACGAUCGGAGCUACACGUCCACAUCACCAAGCACACUCACCAUAGCAAGUGGGGGGAAAGCUGAGGGCACUGUAACCUUAACGGUACCGUCAAGCGCCGCAUCCGGGACAGACGUGACGCUUACCAUCGAGGCUCAAAACGCAGACGCCACUGACAUCAACUAUGCCGUCCUCAGGUUUUCUGUGGCAGCCAAGGUGACCGAUACCACCAGUCCAACAUGCCAGGUCGUCAGCACAACCAACUGCACCUCAUCCUCUUCGGCCUGUUCGUCUUUACAGUGGAUGUUUGUGGCUAAUAUCACAGACGGCGUCAACGGGACCGGUAUUGAGAGUGUCAGCAUCAACCAAGGGAAUGGGACCCUCAACACCAGCACAGCGGUGGGAAUGGAUGGCAUGAACAUCACAGUGGUUUCCUACAGCGCCUCCUGCUGCUCACAGAGCGUACGGCUGGCUGCUGUAGACAAUGUAGGGAAUGUGGGGAUAUGUGAAGGAAAGGCUGUGACAUCCACUGGAGGGCGCACUCUGACCGUUUCACACUGGCUCUGGAUCAGCGUUGCGCUUUCUAUCAUUUGGCGCUGAUUUGAAUCUGGAGUAUUUACCCUGCAAAUAUUUAACAGUACGACACGAAUCAGAAUUUUUUUUUUUUUUUGUCCAUCAGCAUAAUUUAUAUUUCCUGUCACUUAUAGGAAAUGUUUUUCUUUCCCUGCUCUUUUAGUUAGAUGUUGGAUUUCACUAACACUAAAGAAAUCCUCUGUCUUACAGUCUAAUGAUAGAUUCAGUAUUUUCCUGUGUUCUACUCUUUUAUUAUUCAUAACGCUAAAAGGUCACUGUUAGAAAUAAAUGUUUUAACUAAAUGAGGAUUUCAGCUUGUUAAAUAAAGGAUUACAUAUAUACAUAUAUAUUCUAUGUGUACUUGUUUCAUGUGUUUUUUGUUUUUUUUUCUAAGGUCUUGAUGUGGUCUGCUUUGGGAAUUAAGUAUUAAACAAAUUAUCUGUUCUUAAUUUUGUCAAGGAAUUAUUUUCUAAUGAGUGAAUUUCCAACUGAAUAUCAAUAAAGUUCACCUGUAUUUGUGUUAUAAACAGGUUUUUCCAUGUUUUUGUGCGUCUUUCGUUAUGAUGACAGAUUUUAACCUUGAGAGAUCGUGUCACAGAUGAAUUUGAGUCAUUCAGGUCAUGGUGGAUCUUAAAUUAGACAGAAACUGGGCUUUUUUAAGGACCUGUCAUCCAACCUACCAACGGCCAAAAUACAAGGGCGAGGGAGUGAAAUCAACCCAUGUUUCCCC
ensembl:lncRNA